UUACAGAGCGCUGAAUGUUCCUUUUUGACAGGGUGCUGAUUGGUGCAUUUACAAUCCCUGAGCUAGACACAAAAGUUCUCCAUGUCCCCACUAGAUGAGCUAGAUACAGAGCACUGAUUGGUGCAUUUACACACCUUGAGCUAGACACAGAGUGCUGAUUGGUGUAUUUACAAUCCCUUAGCUAAACAUAAAGGUUCUCCAAGUCCCCACUAGACUCAGCAGCCCAGCUGGCUUCACGUAGUGGAUCCUGCACUGGGGUCGCAGGCGGAGCUGCCCGCUAGUCCGGCACCUUGCGCCCGCACUUCUCAGCCAUUGGGCAGUUAAUGGGACCGGCGCCGCGGAGCAGGGGGCGGCGCUGGUCGGGGAGGUUUGGGCAGCGCAGGAGCCCACUGCGGGGGCGAGGCUUGGGCAUGGCGGGCUGCAGGUCCUGAGCCCUGCCCUGUGGAGAGGCAGCUGAGGCUCAGCAAGAAUUCGAGUGCAGCGCUGGUGGGCCGGCACUGCUGGGGGACCCGGCGCACCCUCCGCAGCUGCUGGCCCGGGUGGUAAGCCCCUCACUGCCCGGGGCCCGCGCCGCCGGCGGGCGGCUCAGAGUGCGGGGCCCUCUGAACCCACACCCACCCGGAACUUGCGCUGGCCCGAGAGUGCCGCUCGCAGCCCCGGUUGCCGCCCACGCCCCUCCCUCCACACCUCCCUGCAAGCAGAGGGAGCUGGCUCCGGCCUCGGCCAGCCCAAUGAGGGGCUCCCACAGUGCAGCGCGGGGCUGAAGGGCUCCUCAAGCGCUGCCAGAGUGGGCGCAAAGGCCAAGGAGGCGCCGAGAGCAAGGAGCAAGCGAGGGCUGAGGGCUGCCAGCAAGCUGUCACCUCUCAAAGCAGUGUGAUGGAGGCAGCAAAAUGUGUGGAACCGUCAUUAUGAAGAAGGCAAUGCUCUCCUGCACCAGGGAGCUCUUCACCCCACAACUACAGAGCUCCUGUCUUCCAAGGUUCCCGAACUGUUCUGGGAAGUGCUCCUAAUCACCUGAGGUUUACAUACAAACAACCCCAGGACAUUUCAUUUAGCUACCAAUGUCAUGAUUACCAAAAAUUAAUUAACAAUAUGGUGGUCGUCAUCACAUCUGAGUCACCAAAUCAAAAUUCAGGACACAUUUCCAUGCAAAGUGCAGCCUUCUUCUUACGUUUCAUAAUUGUCAUUUCAAAUGAGAUCUUGGUUGGAAACAAUUGCUUAACUGUUUCAAGGCCUAUACCAAAAUUCUUGAAGCUCAAUUUGCACCACAGAGUACGCCAAUAUGUUUGAGUGAACUGGCUCUGGCUCUCCGAAGCUGUUUUGUAAAGACAAGAGACUAUAAGCCAUGACCUUGGUCUCCAAGGACAGAAUGUCUCUGCUUGCUGACACCAUAUCCUCUUGUGUUCUUACCAGCAACCCCUGAUGACACUAUGCUUCAUAUCUCUCCCCACAAGGUCCAUCUCCUGAAAUCUCAUGACUGAACCCCUUUCCAGGCAUCCUGCUUUCAGGUAGGCAUCCUCCAAUUUUAACUGAGCGCUUAUACCCCUACUUAAGCUAUUGUUUCUUCCUUGGAAUUUAGAUAUUUCAUAGCAUGGUUGAAGACAAGUGGGAGCAUGUGCCAAGUGUCUAUCUGCUUGAUGGGUUGAAGAUGAUUCUGGAAAACACUUCUUAAAUAGGAAAGUGAAGUAGCAAAUAUAUGAAACCAGCCGAAUUGUCCCAAAGAACUGAUGUUUAUGAUUUAUUUUUAAUAAACAUAGCAGUUGAUCCUCUCAGUCUUAAAACUUGAGAAAGUGACAGUUUUCUUAUCUGAGUUCCUUUCUCAAGAAACCAAGCAUCAGGCCUCCCAGAGAGAAUUAAAGAACUAUACCACUGCAUCUGGAAAAUGAAGACACCAGACCCCUCACCCAUGAUGAUUCCCUAACCUAUCACCUACUCCCUAAUUACCAACUCCUCUUCCUUACACCUCCCUAAUUCCUAUUUUCCUGCAUGUAGUUACAUUUCUUUCCUGCUAUAUAAACCCUUGAUUUUAGUUGGUGAGGGAGAUGGGUUUGAGACUGAUUUCCCAUCUCUGUGGCUGCAGCACCUGAUUAAAGCCUUCUUCCCUGGCAGUACUCAUUGUCUCAGUGAUUGGUUUUCUGUGCAGCAAGCAGCAGGACUUUGACAAAACCCCUGGCAUUUCAGUAACAUGUGGACCAACAAUAAGCCUGCAGUUAUCAAAGAAAAGAGAAAAUUAUGUUCACACUUAGAUUUGCUCUAGCCAGGAUCACCAUAGGCACAUUUGAAACCUACAGAGAAAAAAGCUAAAAUAACUGUUUUUAACGAUAAAUACAAUGCUCAGGUACCAUGAGACUAAGAUGAACAUAAAAGCAGAGACAUGAAAGACCUUUGCACAUUAGUACUGCAACCCACAGUGGCACUGACAAUAAGAAGACACUCCUGAUAGCUUUGAGAGAGGAC
rnacentral:lncRNA from 10 species